rnacentral:rRNA from 1 species
GAUGAACGCUGGCGGCGUGCUUAAUACAUGCAAGUCGAACGGAGACUUUGUAGCAAUACUUAGUCUUAGUGGCGAACGGGUGCGUAACGCGUUGGUGACCUGCCCCGAAGAGGGGGAUAACAGUUCGAAAGGACUGCUAAUACCCCAUGUGGUCAUGAAGGUUAGAGGCUUUAUGACUAAAGCAGUAAUGCGCUUCGGGAGGGACCUGCGUCCCAUCAGCUAGUUGGUAGGGUAACGGCCUACCAAGGCUUCGACGGGUAGGGGACCUGAGAGGGUGGUCCCCCACAUUGGCACUGAAACACGGGCCAAACACCUACGGGUGGCAG